CCAGAGGCAGCCAGCUGAAAAUCUUCUGGAGAAUCUUUAGGAUCUUUUUGCCAUGCACCUGCAGACCAAGCUCACAAGUUCAAGCUUACGAUGACUUACACACAACUGGAAGAUUUUCCACGUGCACCUGCGUCUCAUCUCCAGCCGGGCAGCAUACUGACGGUACCAGCGCUGGAUCAACAGAGCCGCUCUGAUUGCUGAAGAUUCGGGAGAGAAGAAGAAAGCACUUUAUCAUAACCAUGCUAAGCCCUUCAUCUGUUUAGAAAGGCCCUUUGUGAUCCCAGCCAACAGCAGCUAUCUGUGGUGUGACUCCCAGCUGUACUACAACAAGAAAGUGGUGGGAGACAUCUGAUAACUCAAGGACUCUGCUCAUUCAUGCAUGGUUAUAGAAGCAUGAAAUCUGCAGUAUCCCACAGUGACCUCAGGUGUGUGUGUGUGUGUGUGUGUGUGUGUGUGUGUGUAUGUGUGUGUGUUUUGUUAUUGUACAACAAAUCCCAUGAAAAGACUAAAACCAACAAUUUGUUAAUCCGUCCCACAAUAAUUCAAUUAAAGGCUAUUUUAUUUGAUAGGGACAAUGCAAUUUAACAUACAAUACAAUAUAUGUACGUAUACUGUAAGGUGCUAUAUUGGAUUGAGAUCUGGUGACUGUGGAGGACAUUUAGGGAACAGUGGACUGUCAUGUUCAAGAAACCAGUUUGAGAUGUAGCCAUUAGAAGAUGGGCACACUGUGCUCAUAAAGGGUUGGACAUGAUCAGCAGUAAUACUCAAGUAGGAUGUUGCAUUUAAACAAUGCUCAAUUGGUACUAAUUACACCACCACCAGCCACCUGAACCAUUGACACAAGGCAGGAUCUACUUGUGUACUUACUCACAUGCACCCCUAGAUAUGUAAACACCACUGGUCAAUAAAAAACCAAGCAAACUUAUAUUUGGUUAUAUUUAUUAUCUGUAGCCAAUUUCCAACUCCAACUUCGAAGUUUGACACUGUGGCUUUAAUAGUUUUUGGACAACA